rnacentral:rRNA from 1 species
AGAUCGAACGCUGGCGGCAUGCCUUACACAUGCAAGUCGAACGGCAGCACGGGGGCAACCCUGGUGGCGAGUGGCGAACGGGUGAGUAACAUAUCGGAACGUGCCCUGGAGUGGGGGAUAACUAGUCGAAAGACUAGCUAAUACCGCAUACGAUCUACGGAUGAAAGUGGGGGAUCGCAAGACCUCAUGCUCGUGGAGCGGCCGAUAUCUGAUUAGCUAGUUGGUGGGUAAAGCCUACCAAGGCAUCGAUCAGUAGCUGGUCUGAGAGGACGACCAGCCACACUGGGACUGAGACGACGGCCCAGACUCCGUACGGGAGCAGGCAGGUGGGAAUUUGGAC